rnacentral:piRNA from 1 species
UCUGAUGAGUGCCUGGAAAGGAAAGAGUG